UGAAUGGACAGAAAUGUGCAGAAGACAUCCAACUUCCAAUCUAUCUGAUUUUAUGAAUGAAUGAAUAUGGACAUCCAUGGCGGCGAACUUAGAGACAGAGCGCAUCAAUGAGCUUAUGAAUGCCCUGCCAAAAUGCUAACUUCUCUUUCAGCUACUACACGUCCCUGUAUAAUCUUCAAUUCAUCUGUCGAACCUUCAAGAUCAAUCGAUCAAGAACAGGUAAUCUACCAUCCAACAUUGUUCGCGUCGCACUGUCGUCUGAAAAGAAAGAUUCCACUUGUGGUCGUCGAUAUGCCAUGUCAUGCUGUGGUGUUUCCAUGCUUACCCUUUGCACAGUCAACAGUUGGUUAAUGGCUAAGCCUGCUUGGGCAGGAAAUGGGGAAAAGGAUCAAGAUGAUGAUGGUAUUGUUGGUGCAGUGAAAUCGUUGUUUGAUCCAAACGAAGUGACAAAGUCGGGUAAAGUACUGCCAAAGGAUUAUUUGAAAUCGGCGAGAGAGGUGGUUAGAACUCUGCAAGAGUCGUUUAAGGAAGAUCCAAAGGAUAAUUCUAAAUUCAGGAGGACUGCAGAUUCCGCUAAAGAGUCUAUUAGAGAGUAUAUAAACACUUGGAGGGGCAGACAAGAAGUGACCAAAGAGGAAUCUUAUGUCAUGAUCGAGAAAGCCAUAAGAUCGCUAGCAAAGUUCUAUUCGAAAGCUGGUCCAUCUGCGCCACUUCCGGAAGAUGUCAAGUCUGAAAUACUCAAGGAUUUGAACAUGGCUGAAGAAUUUUUAUAGGAGUAGUGAAGAACUCAAGGCUUGGAAGCUUCAUUAGCACUUAAUCCAGACAUUUUUGAGACAACAUAAUGACCAUCCCAACUAUUCGAAACCUUCGGUUAGGUGGUUCGAUAAACGCUUCAUCGUCAUCUUCAACUCUCCUCAGUCUCUUAAAACCAAAUCUUCGUCUUGCGGUUCGAAACAGACCAUAUACAUAAGGCAACACACCAGUGUAUGUUUCCAUAAAUGGUUUUAUGUCUCUGCCCCCAACAAAUUAAAGUACCUUAUCUAUAUAGGUUCUAAAGUUUAGGUUAGUUUGGUUUGGUCCAAAACAGCCUAGAUACAUGCUUGCACGUUCUAUAUGGAGUUGAUCCCACCACGAAAAGAAGUGGAUCUGGUAUUACUGACUCUUGUGGUCUGUUUGGGUUUUAUUAUAAUAGUCAUGAAAAGAAAGUAAAAUGUAUUA